AUUGAACGCUGGCGACAUGCCUUACACAUGCAAGUCGAACGGCAGCACGGGUGCUUGCCCCUGGUGGCGAGUGGCGAACGGGUGAGUAAUACAUCGGAACAUGUCCUGUAGUGGGGGAUAGCCCGGCGAAAGCCGGAUUAAUACCGCAUACGAUCUACGGAUGAAAGCGGGGGACCUUCGGGCCUCGCGCUAUAGGGUUGGCCGAUGGCUGAUUAGCUAGUUGGUGGGGUAAAGGCCUACCAAGGCGACGAUCAGUAGCUGGUCUGAGAGGACGACCAGCCACACUGGGACUGAGACACGGCCCAGACUCCUACGGGAGGCAGCAGUGGGGAAUUUUGGACAAUGGGCGAAAGCCUGAUCCAGCAAUGCCGCGUGUGUGAAGAAGGCCUUCGGGUUGUAAAGCACUUUUGUCCGGAAAGAAAUACUUGGCCCUAAUACGGUCGGGGGAUGACGGUACCGGAAGAAUAAGCACCGGCUAACUACGUG
rnacentral:rRNA from 1 species